GUUUGGUUUUGGUUGUGAAUUCGAACCUUGAUCCUUUCUAGUGUUGAUUCAGGUGGUUCUUUCUGGGAAGCAGAGACUGGUAUUUUGGUCCCGGCCACCACAGCUCUGUUGGAUCGAUCUCUUCUUCGUAUCAGUGAUCGUCUCCGGUGAUUGAAGGGUGCAGAGAGGAUGCGAUGUGCUUAUUUUAGAUACUGGAUUGGGAAGUGCAGAGAAUCAAGCAAGGGUCAAGGAGUUGCUUCAUGUGGAGGAAUCAAAACUAGAGGAGGAUGAGGGAAAUACCACUCCAGCAGUGAGAUGGGUUCGAGAUGAUAAAUAUGAUUGCAUCCGAUUAAAGCAUUGCAAGGUUGUGACAAAAAUUGAUUGGCAUCGGAAAGGAGACUAUUUCACUACUGUCGUUCCUAGUGAUAUCCUAAUUAUGAAUUUUAGUUGUACUUAUUUUUAGUCAUUCCUAGUGCCUAUUUUAUAUCUCAGUUUUGUUUCUUUCUUUUUUCUAAUACACACUGACAAAUUGGAAAUAUAUAAAAAUCAUGACAUUAUACCUAGUUACCUAGCCUUUGAGGCUGGAAUCAGGAUGAAACCUAAAGUGCCCUGAAAAGUUUAGGCAUACCAAAUUCUCUCAGUUUAAUGACAGAGGUCAGUUGUGUUGCAAACUUUGUUAUUUUCCUUGUUUUUCAUUUACCGCGUCUAGAUUAAGAAACUAUGGCUUUCUAACUCAAAUAAAAAUUGCAAUUCCUGCCUAUCUUAGACCUAACAUUAACUUAUUAAUUGAACAGGUGUUUUAGAUUGUAAAUUUCAUCCGAGGCAGCCAUGGCUAUUCACAGCUGGAGCAGAUUCUAUCAUUAAACUAUAUUGCCACUAAUGAUAGAUUCUCCAGGAAACUUUGAAGAAUCUCCUCGAGUCAAGAUACGUUGUGAUUGGCACGGCAAGUGUUCUAAAAUGAAGCCAAAGAAAAUGGGGGAGAAAAUAAGGUUCGGCUUGAGGAAUUUAUGCAAUAAAGCAGUUUUAUAUUUGAUUCCUUCUUUAAUUAUAUUGCGUGUGUUCCUAAGCUGCAACCUAUUAAUAAUUUUAGUUUUAUAAUGUUCUUUGCCACUACCUUUCUAUUAUUCAUUCUUUUGCUUUGCAGGUUGUGACAAAAAUUGAUUGGCAUCGGAAAGGAGACUAUUUCACUACUGUCGUUCCUAGUGAUAUCCUAAUUAUGAAUUUUAGUUGUACUUAUUUUUAGUCAUUCCUAGUGCCUAUUUUAUUCCUAGUCACCUUAUUUCAAUGACAAGAACAAGGGUUCUCAUGGCCAAUAUGUGUCUAUUAAUGGGAUUUUCAAUGUCUUGCUUACCACGCUAAUCCUACUUCUGAUUGGAUUUGCAGCUUCAAGAUAUCAAACUCUACACCUUCUAUAUGGAGCUAGAUUUGCAAAAGCCAUAUCCAACUCGAGGAAGUGACUUAUUGACAUGGGAGAGAACUUAUUGGUAACCAAGGACUUUGUGAAGAUAGCAAAUUUUGGCUUUGCUCGUGAAGUUCAUUCGAAGCCACCAUUCACAGAAUAGGUUUCAACACGCUGUUUACAAAUCUCAAGUACUC